CUCCAUCUCCUUUCAGUUCUCUUCCCCUCCCGUCUCCAGACAGUUCCACACACGGAUUGCUGUGUAUCAGCCCGGUGCCACUGCAGGCACCCGGCAUCUAUGGGUGAGACGCUGCUGUGUGGAAGGGAGAGAAGGGUGCCGUGGAGCGAUCCCUCAUUGUUCCCAUCUGGAGAUGGAUAUGGACGUGUCUGACACGAGCUGCUCUGUCCCGUUUGUUUACAGAUGCGAGUGGAGAUGAAUGGGAUGCAGAAUCCCAGCCGGCUCCCCGGACGGAAGCUCUAGCAGAUGGCAUGGAAGUGCCUCCAGAGCAGAGCUGCUUCCCGUGCCGGACCCCCGCUGGUAUCCCAGGGGUGGGUAGUCUGUCUGGGUGGACUUCACCAAACAGUGCUAUGUUCAGUAGCUGGCUCAUCUGGUACAUCCUGUUCAGGUCCUGUGGGACAGAGAGGGAAGUUGAGGGCUUGGAAACCAACAUUCUACACAUGUGGAAAACACUGAUGUCUUCUGGGAAGAAGUGCCCCCUGAAGAUAACAUCUUCCUGAUGAGAGCAGAUAUUUACGGUUCCACUCUGCUUCCUUCUUUCUAAAGAGAUCAACGGACAGCCUGUGGCUGAGGCUGUGUGUCAGGAGGGCAGCAGCUGCACGCUGCUCUUCUCCCAUGAGGACACAGAGGACGUUCAAGCGGCUGGUGCUCCACUUCAAGGUAAAGGCUGUGCACAGAGCUCUGUGGCUGGCGGUUAGAGGUUGCUUCCCUCCCACCGGCUUCCCAAGGACUUAGGAACU
rnacentral:lncRNA from 1 species